rnacentral:rRNA from 1 species
UACGGGGGGGGCAAGCGUUGUUCGGAAUUACUGGGCGUAAAGGGCUCGUAGGCGGCCAACUAAGUCAGACGUGAAAUCCCCAGGCUCAACCUGGGAACUGCGUCUGAUACUGGAUGGCUUGAAUCCGGGAGAGGGAUGCAGAAUUCCAGGUGUAGCGGUGAAAUGCGUAGAUAUCUGGAGGAAUACCGGUGGCGAAGGCGGCAUCCUGGACCGGCACUGACGCUGAGGCGCGAAAGCGUGGGGAGCAAACAGG